AGUGAACGCUGGCGGCAGGCCUAAUACAUGCAAGUCGAACGAGGGGCGGACGGGUGAGGAAUGUCUGGGAAACUGCCUGAUGGAGGGGGAUAACUACAGGAAACGGUAGCUAAUACCGCAUACCAUCGGAUGUGCCCAGAUGGGAUUAGCUUGUUGGUGGGGUAACGGCUCACCAAGGCGACGAUCCCUAGCUGGUCUGAGAGGAUGACGAGCCACACUGGAACUUGGACACGGUCCAGACUCCUACGGGAGGCAGCAGUGGGGAUUAUUGCACAAUGGGCGCAAGCCUGAUGCAGCCAUGCCGCGUGUAUGAAGAAGGCCUUCGGGUUGUAAAGUACUUUCAGCGGGGAGGCGUUACCCGCAGAAGAAGCACCGGCUAACUCCGUGCCAGCAGCCGCGGUAAUUC
rnacentral:rRNA from 1 species